rnacentral:rRNA from 1 species
CAGGCUUAACACAUGCAAGUCGAGGGGCAGCAUGGUCUUAGCUUGCUAAGGCCGAUGGCGACCGGCGCACGGGUGAGUAACACGUAUCCAACCUGCCGUCUACUCUUGGACAGCCUUCUGAAAGGAAGAUUAAUACAAGAUGGCAUCAUGAGUCCGCAUGUUCACAUGAUUAAAGGUAUUCCGGUAGACGAUGGGGAUGCGUUCCAUUAGAUAGUAGGCGGGGUAACGGCCCACCUAGUCUUCGAUGGAUAGGGGUUCUGAGAGGAAGGUCCCCCACAUUGGAACUGAGACACGGUCCAAACUCCUACGGGAGGCAGCAGUGAGGAAUAUUGGUCAAUGGGCGAGAGCCUGAACCAGCCAAGUAGCGUGAAGGAUGACUGCCCUAUGGGUUGUAAACUUCUUUUAUAAAGGAAUAAAGUCGGGUAUGGAUACCCGUUUGCAUGUACUUUAUGAAUAAGGAUCGGCUAACUCCGUGCCAGCAGCCGCGGUAAUACGGAGGAUCCGAGCGUUAUCCGGAUUUAUUGGGUUUAAAGGGAGCGUAGAUGGAUGUUUAAGUCAGUUGUGAAAGUUUGCGGCUCAACCGUAAAAUUGCAGUUGAUACUGGAUAUCUUGAGUGCAGUUGAGGCAGGCGGAAUUCGUGGUGUAGCGGUGAAAUGCUUAGAUAUCACGAAGAACUCCGAUUGCGAAGGCAGCCUGCUAAGCUGCAACUGACAUUGAGGCUCGAAAGUGUGGGUAUCAAACAGGAUUAGAUACCCUGGUAGUCCACACGGUAAACGAUGAAUACUCGCUGUUUGCGAUAUACUGCAAGCGGCCAAGCGAAAGCGUUAAGUAUUCCACCUGGGGAGUACGCCGGCAACGGUGAAACUCAAAGGAAUUGACGGGGGCCCGCACAAGCGGAGGAACAUGUGGUUUAAUUCGAUGAUACGCGAGGAACCUUACCCGGGCUUAAAUUGCAGAUGAAUUACGGUGAAAGCCGUAAGCCGCAAGGCAUCUGUGAAGGUGCUGCAUGGUUGUCGUCAGCUCGUGCCGUGAGGUGUCGGCUUAAGUGUCAUAACGAGCGCAACCCUUGUUGUCAGUUACUAACAGGUUCCGCUGAGGACUCUGACAAGACUGCCAUCGUAAGAUGUGGGGAAGGUGGGGAUGACGUCAAAUCAGCACGGCCCUUACGUCCGGGGCUACACACGUGUUACAAUGGGGGGUACAGAGGGCCGCUACCACGCGAGUGGAUGCCAAUCCCCAAAACCUCUCUCAGUUCGGACUGGAGUCUGCAACCCGACUCCACGAAGCUGGAUUCGCUAGUAAUCGCGCAUCAGCCACGGCGCGGUGAAUACGUUCCCGGGCCUUGUACACACCGCCCGUCAAGCCAUGGGAGCCGGGGGUACCUGAAGUGCGUAACCGCGAGGAGCGCCCUAGGGUAAAACUGGUGACUGGGGC